GCUACUGCCUCACAACAGCCUCCACAGGCACAGCUCCAUCGUUACAAUGGCCUCUUUAGACCCAGCUCCUGCCUCCCAGCCUUCUCUCCAGGCCCUGAACUUUCUCAAGUUGACCUCACCAGGCCCAGCUCAUGCUUCUUUGCAGCCUCUCCAGGCCCAGCUCCUGCAUCUUGGUGGCCCCUCCAGGCCCAGCCUCUGCCUCCCGUCAGCCUCUACAGUCCCAACGUCUGCCUCACAGCAGAUUCUUCACGCCCAGCUUCUACCUCACUGUGGACCCCCCAAGCCAAGCUCCCAACCUUUCAGCAGCUUCUACACACCCAGCUCCUGCCACCCAGUGGCCUCUUUAGGCCAAGCUCAUGCUUCACAAGGGCCUUUCCAGGCCCAACUUUUGUCUCAUGGCAACCUUCCCUGGCCAGAUUCCUGCCUGUCUCCCAGCAGCCUAGACAGGCCCAGGUCUUGCCUCACACUGGCCUCUCUACAUCCAGCUUAUGCCUCACGGUGGCCUCUCCACGGCCAACUCCUGUCCCAGGACAUCAUCUCCGGGCCCAAAACUUACUCAAGUCAGACUCUCUAGUCCCAACUGCUGCCUCCUGGUGGCCUAUGAAGGCCCAAAAUCUCCUCAAGUUGACCUGUCCAGGCCCAGCUCCUGCCUCCUGUCAGCGUCUACAGGCCCAACCUCUGCCUCAUGGGGGCUUCUCCAGGCCCACCUCUUCCUCUUGGCUGGGUCUACAGGCACAACUGCUGCCUCACAACAGCCUUUUUUGGCCCAGUUCCUGUCCAGCUAAUGGCGGCCAAUGUAGGCCCAAAACUUCCUCAAGUCAAACUCUCCAGGCCCACCUUCUGCUUCCCGGUGGCAUCAACAGGCCCAGCUUUGACUUGAGAACAGCCUCUGCAGGCCCUGCUCUUGCCUCCCAGGGGCUUUUUCCAGGCCCAGCUCUUGCCUCAUGGCAGCUGCCCCAGGCCAAAUUUCUGCCUGCCUGCCAGCAGCCUCAACAGGCACAGCUCCUCCCUCACAGUGGCCCAUUUAGGCCCAACUUAUGACUGUGAGGCCAUUUCCAGGCCUAGUGCCUGCCUCGUGGCUGACUCUUGAAGCCCAAAACUUCCUCAAAUCAGGCUUUUGCCCAACUUCUGUCUACUGUCGGACUCUACAGGUCAGCCUCUGCCUCACAGUGGACCCUCCAGACCCAGAUGGUGUCUCACUGUGGCAUCCUCAGGUGAAGCUCCUGCCUUUCGGCAGCCUCUCCAGGCCCAGCUCCUCCUGCCUCCCAGUGGCCUCUUUCGGCCCAGCCCAGCUCAUGCCUCCCGGCGGCCUUCCCAAGCCCCGCUUUUGACUUUCGGUGGCCUCUGCAGGCCUCGACAAGGCCCAGCCUCCUGCCUCCCGAAGGCCUGCACAGGCCCAGCCUCUGCCUCACAGCGGACUCUCCACGCCCAGCUAGCUGUUGCUUCACUGCGGCCUCCCGAGUCCAAAGCUCCUGCCUCUCGGCCGCUUCGGCAGGCCCAGCUCCCGCCUGCCAGUGGCCUCUUCAGGCCCAUGGGGCUCAUUCCUGACAACGGCCUUUCCAGGCCCAGUUUUUCCCUUCCAGCGGCCUCUCCGGGCCCAGAACCUCCUCAAGUCGGCCUCUCCAGACCCACUUGCACCCUCCGGGCGUUCUCUCCGGGCCCAGCUCUUCUUCCUGGUUGGGUCUCCAGGCCCGAUUCCUGCCUCUCAACAACCUCUUUGGACUCAGUGCCUACCCAUCUCCUGGCGGCCUUGGUCGGUCCACAGCUUCCUCAAGCCAAGCUCCCCAGGCCCAGGUCAGGCCUCACGGUGGCCUCUCCAGGAUGAGCUCCUGCCCUCCGAUGGCAUCUCCAGGCCCCAAAUGGUCUCCGGUCGGUGGGCUCCUCCACGCCAAGGUUGGGCCUCCCGGCGACCGCCGCAGGCCCAAGUUGUCCUGAAGUCGGGCUCUCCCGGCCCUGCCUCCCAGCAAGUAAGCAAGCUCUUUUGGCUCAACUCCUGCCCAGCUCCCAACCGCCUUUGUAGGCCCCGAACUUUCUCCAGCCAAGCUCUGAGGGCCCACCUCCUGCCUCCUGGUGGCCUGUACAGUUCUAGCACUGGUUGGAGAACAGCCUCUGCAGGCCCCGCCCUUGCCUCCCAGGGGCCUCUCCAGGCCCAGCUCUUGCCCCCACGGCGGCCUCCCGGGGCCAAGUCCCUGCCUGCCUCCCAGCAGCCCGCGUGCGGCCCAGCUCCUCCCUCACGGUGGCCUGUUGAUGCCCAACUCAUGCCUCUGGCACCCUGCCCAGAGGCGUGAGCCCCUGCCUCACACUGGCUCCUCCCACGCUGAGAGAGGUCAGUGUGAGCCCUUGCCUCACACCGGCCCCUCCCACGCGGACAGAGGUCAGCGUGAGCCCCUUGCCUCACACCGGCCCCUCCCACGCUGAGAGAGGUCAGUGUGAGCCCCUUGCCUCACACCGGCCCCUCCCACGUGGACAGAGGUCAGCGUGAGCCCCUUGUCUCACACCGGCCCCUCCCACGCUGAGAGAGGUCAGUGUGAGCCCUUGCCUCACACCGGCCCCUCCCACGCGGACAGAGGUCAGCGUGAGCCCCUUGCCUCACACCGGCCCCUCCCACGCUGAGAGAGGUCAGCCCGAGCCCCUUGCCUCACACCGGCCCCUCCCACGCGGACAGAGGUCAGCCCGAGCCCCUUGCCUCACACCGGCCCCUCCCACGCUGAGAGAGGUCAGCCCGAGCCCCUUGCCUCACACCGGCCCCUCCCACGCUGAGAGAGGUCAGCCCGAGCCCCUUGCCUCACACCGGCCCCUCCCACGCUGAGAGAGGUCAGUGUGAGCCCUUGCCUCACCCCGGCCCCUCCCACGCGGACAGAGGUCAGCCUGAGCCCCUUGCCUCACACCGGCCCCUCCCACGCGGACAGAGGUCAGCCUGAGCCCCUUGCCUCACACCGGCCCCUCCCACGCGGACAGAGGUCAGCCUGAGCCCCUUGCCUCACACCGGCCCCUCCCACGCUGAGAGAGGUCAGUGUGAGCCCCUUGUCUCACACCGGCCCCUCCCACGCGGACAGAGGUCAGCGUGAGCCCCUUGCCUCACACCGGCCCCUCCCACGCUGAGAGAGGUCAGCCUGAGCCCUUGCCUCACACCAGCCCCUCCCACGCGGACAGAGGUCAGCGUGAGCCCCUUGCCUCACACCGGCCCCUCCCACGCUGAGAGAGGUCAGUGUGAGCCCUUGCCUCACACCGGCCCCUCCCACGCGGACAGAGGUCAGCGUGAGCCCCUUGCCUCACACCGGCCCCUCCCACGCUGAGAGAGGUCAGUGUGAGCCCUUGCCUCGAGCCUGGUAGCUCCAGGUCGCCCACACUUUCAGGUCUCUUGCACCAGAAGGUGGCAGGAUCCAUUGGGAGGAAACAGGCCACCUUGGAAGGCGUCCCUGGGCCCCCAUCCCCAGGGGUUGGGGCCGUAGGGGGCCCGCUCUGCUGCGUUGACCAGACUCCUGGGCUUUGAAGGCUCCUGGGCCCAGUAAGAAGGAGGUGGGUGCCAAGGUUGAGGAGGAAGCAUCCGAGUAUGUGUAGGAGGAGGACAGGGUGUGACCAUAGACUGCCAAAAGCUGCAGGUGGAUCGGGGGACCCUGGGGGCUCAGGAUCCAGCAAGGGGCGGCAGGAGUAAAGGAGGAAGGAAUGACAGGUGCAAAUACCUUCCCACCAAAGCCCUUGUUGCCCUCUGGCUCCUCCCCAGAGUUGUCCCCACUCUCAGUCGGUCACCCACUCCUUGAACUUGAGAUCGGUGUCGGUGGUGCUAAAGCCAUCAUCAGCAAUGACAUCAUCACCCCCUCCUCCUCAUGGAUGACCGUGUGCUCUUCGUCACUCGCUAUGACCUCGCUGGCCAUGUGCUGGGAAUGAGCAGCUCACGUGGGCGGCAGCAGGGCUGCCCACGGGUCACCUCCCUCACCAGGGGCUGCAAAGUGGCCUGGAGCUCCAUGCUGAGUAGAAGGCUUUGGGCCAGAGUAUGAUGCAGUGCCAGACACCACCUGUGUCAGUUCCCGUAGUGCCUGACGGUCUAUUUCCCUGCCGUCCAGGCUGUGUACCCCGCUGUGGGAGAAGGCUUGGGCCAGGCUGAGCCAGGUUCCCUGACUGUGUGCAGCCGUUCUGCCCCACAGAAGCUGCUCCUUGGUAUCCGAGCUCUGGAGUGUUUGGGCUGCAACUGACAGGAGUUCAGAGGACACCCCAGGGGCAGUGGCAGUGCCCGUCUCUGAUAUGCUCCGCUCCCACGAGCCCUUGUUACACUCCUGCUAGCCCCUGGCUUGUGGGCUUGGCCUCUGAGCUGGACUUCUUUCGGUCCUUGUUGCAAGUGGGCCACCUUCACCUGGAAGGCCAGGUUGUAUUUCUGCAUCUCAUUGGGCCCCAGGGUGUACCACCGCUCGCUCAGCAUCUGGCUGACGGUCCGGUUAUCCUGGUUGGGGUGACCCUGGUGCGCCCCGCCAGGGCCUGGUGCCGCCUGCUGAAGAUCAUGAGCGCCACUCAUGGGCCACCGGAUGUGGUCCUUGUCUGAUUUGUUGGGGCUGCGUCCAUCCUUCUCAGAAGAUGAGUCCUGUUCCUUGCGCAGGGCACUGAGGGACUGGGCCUGACAUCAUCUGAGUGGUAGAGGCAACUGGGUGUCAGGAGACAUGAUGGAGAGGAAAGCAUCAUCAUGGUCAUUCUCUGUCUCACUGUCCAGCAGGGACUCCCCUGAGGGGCCCAGGGCUCCUCCUCCAUGGUGGGAGGUGAGCUUUUACCAGGUUCCACCAACCCCAAAGUGUGUGGGGUUGCGGGCCCUGGGCUUUCAGGGCAGGUGGCUCCAGGGGGCCGCCCAGGGUCAACACUCCCUGUCCCACC
rnacentral:lncRNA from 1 species